CUGGCCCACCUUGCACCUCCCGAACGGCCCAUAACAUGCUCCACGAACUUCUCCCCAGACUCGACCAAACAGAAAACGCCGCCGCCGCGGCCAACUUCCCUCCCGCCGCCGCACCCAGGCUCCCACGCGACGCCUCCUACCUCUGCGCACGGCCGCCCACCUCCCGCGCGUCGCCGCCUGCCUCCACGCGCUGCCGUCCCACAUCCCGCACGCCGCCGUCCCACAUCCCGCGCGCCACCGUCCCACAUCCGCGCAUCGCCACCUCUCCUCCGUUGGCCGAUGCCUGCCUCCGCGCACCGCCACUUCCUCUCUAGCGCUCUGCUAGCCUCCCACUGCCUCCUUCCACUACGGCAGCGCCUUCCCUCCCCUGCGCGCUGCUGGCAAACCACCGGCAGCAGGCUCCUCCGCCGGCCGUCGACCUUACCAGCGCCGCUGCCCAACCACCGCUCUCUGUCGACCAGGCUUCUGCGCGCGCCCUCCUCUCCCAGGCCCCCUCCCAUAGGUAUUGGAGCCUCCCUUCCCUGAUCUCGACCCUGAUUUUUCUCUCCCUCCCUCUCCCUAAUCUCUCUCUCUACACUAAUCUCUUUCUCUUCUCCUUAGUCCCUAGCCCAUCGCUGAAUGCAUACGCUGCACCACAGGUUCCUACUCCACCGUGCCUCGUCUCUUCUUCUUCACUCUUCACUUCUCUAGUGUGUGCACACAAAUUUUUCGCUAAAAUGUCUAUGUGCACUAGUACCGGUGUAAGUACAUUCUAGGUCUUGGUACUGUAAUAUGGCAAUACACCUUUGAUGUAUUUGUCAUGCUUUCUAUAUCGCAUUGAAACUGGCUGCAGUUCAGUAAGUAGAUUCUGAAAUGGAGAGUCUAGGUAUUUGCUUAUUUUUGUUCAAUACAAGUAUUAGCUCACCUAUCGUCAAUGUAGGUUCCGGAUGAACUUCUUGUUGAAAGGGUGGUUGGCAGACGGCUGCAUCCUGAAACGGGGAAAAUAUACCAUCUAAAGUAUUCUCCACCUGAGAAUGAAGAAAUUGCAUCCAGGCUUACACAAAGAUUUGAUGAUACAGAAGAAAAGGUUAAGCUGAGGUCGCAGACGCAUUAUCAAAAUAUCAAGUCCUUGGUUUCGAUAUAUGAAGAUGUUAUAGUCAAGGUAAAAAGGAAAUACCACGGUGGAAGAUGUGUUAUGUGAGAUCGACAAGCUGCUCACUUCCAGGCUUGAUAAGAAAAUAGAAAUGGUGGCUAGCUAACUCAUAAGCAGAGAAAGCUGUGCGAACCACACAUGUGGUUGAAGCAUGAUUUUAUUUUAUUUUUUCAAGACAUGCAGGUGACAAAGCAUUGGUAGGAUGAUAUUUAGAAAGCCCUUUGUUAUUCAUGGAUGUAAAUGCGUCACUGUUUUGUAAUGAUCUUUACUAGGACUACAUUGAUAUAACAUGCAAUUGGAAGGAUUGCCUUGAGUUUGUACUUUACAAAAAUAGUACCAGUUUAGUGCAUUCGUUUUCCCUUCUAGCUUAGUCCUUGCCUGCUAACUGAUAUAGCUUGGAUUACUGAGAGUAUUUUCCCUGUGUGUUCUGCACUUUAGGUUCAAGUUCAUCGUGCAUCCUCGACGUAGCGCAGCUCCGGCUCCUCCCCCGCUUGCUGCCAGGUCUGUCUCUCCUUCCUCCCCUGCUCACUGUCUUGUACGACAGUGGAUGCGGCUACAUGAUGGAACGAAAGCCGUCCUCCCAGCACCGGCGGUUGUACUACACCCUACAGAAAAGAACAAUCGCUAGUUCAGAAUCAGAAAAAAGAGAAGUUCAAGAAGAACAAAGGGACAACUAUGAUGAUGGCGAUUGAAAAAGGAUUCUGAAAUAAUAUUAUUGAGACUGAAGGCCUUUGAUGCAUGAUGUCGGAGAAUUCCAGGGCUUUUUUCCAAGGCGGCCGAUGGCUUUCGAGAGAUGUGUUCAUAUCUCACAAGUUUCUACGGGUUCAAGUUCAUAUAUAUAAAGAAGAAAUGCCAAUUUUGUUGCACAUAUGUGUGUGAAGGAGGCACUGAAAGUUGAUGUACUUGUUAUUUCUUUUCUUGUAACCCCUACAUACCUGAUUGAGACUAUUCAGUCACAAUUAUUUUUGCUUGCCA